CCAUAUCACAUACUCUAAUAUUUAAACUCCUAUACAUGCCAUAGGCUCAAAGUACUUGACAUCACUACACCAAUAGCGUUAGCUUGACAGUGUGAUAAUAUCUCUGACGGGCUCCAACCCGAGCUAACCUGGAAACUCUAGAAAACAUGGGAAAGAAGAGGGGGCUAAGCUUUCGCUUAAUAAGUUCAUAUGAAAACAAUAAGCACUCAUUAACUUGUUUUAUCAAUGUUUACAACAUAUUCUCAAGUUCACUACAAGCUGUCUUUCUGAGCAACGGUCACUAAAUUAUUUAUAUCUAGAGCUAUGAAACUUCGAAUUAAGUUCCAUUAAUUUUCCCUGAAACUAGACUUAUUUUCCUUCUUCCAUAAAAUUUUUAGAAUUUUUGGUUAAGCCAAAUAGUACAGUUUAUUCCUCAAAGUUACCCCUAAUUCACUGUCUGACAGUUCCGACCCUUCUGUACUAAAGUUCAAUUAUCUCAUAGUACAAGACUCGAAUAAUGUUCUCGUCUAUUUCUAUUGAAACUAGACUCAUAUGUAUACUUACUAAUUUUUUUCUACAAUUUUUGGUUGGGACAAUUAGUACAGUUUAUUAGUUAAAGUCUCCCCUGUUUCAGGGUAUGACCACUCUGACCCCUGUGCACUACAAACCGAAUUUCUCCCUGUACAAAAUUCCAACGACCAUGGAGUUUAUUUCCCAUAAAAAUAGACUAAAUAAGGAAUCCAUGCAUGUAAGGUAUGACUCUUAAUAAUUUUGUACAAUUUUUGGUGAAUUUCUAAAGUCAGAACAGGGGAUCUCGAAUUUAUUCAGACCCUGUUUUACAAGAAUUCAAAUAUCACACAAUAUGUAAUCUUUUUCUUCCCCUGUUUCUUUCAUGUGAAAAUAGACUCAUUAAGCUUUAAUCCCAUAUUUUAUUCUGCCUCUAACUCAUUUUCCACUAUUUUUAGUAUAUUUUUAAAGUUACACUACUGCAGUAACUCAAAUCUGUCAAGGCUAAAUUACUCAUUCAUGAUCAUUGUUCACAAAAUUAAUACAACAUCGUUUGUAUAAUCAUCACCGAGACAUUCAUAUCAUAUUUUCAUUUAUCAUCUUACCAUAUUGUUGUUAUGUCGAGUUUUCAACCCGAGGGUUAAGUACAUACCUGUUCAAAGUAUCCAUUUCACAACAUUUACCAAUACGUCCCUUUCAUCUCGAGUAUUCCUCCAUUUGAGUAGAAUUUUACCCGUUGAACACAUCGGAAUAUAAUUCGGAUACAUGGAAAGUUUGCACAUAAGUGCCAUAUAUGUAGCCAAGCUACCAUGUAACCCGCCCAUAAGUGAACUCGGACUCAACUCAACGAGCUCGGGCGUUCGCAUCCAUAAGUGAACUCGGACUCAACUCAACGAGCUCGGAUGCCUAGUUACAUCUCACGAACUCGGACUCAACUCAACGAGUUCGAACAUUCGCAUCCAUAAGUGAACUCGAACUCAACUCAACGAGUUCGGAUGCUCAACCAUCCUAGUGACAUGUCACUUGUAUCCUAAUCUAUUCCUAAGGUUCAAACGGGAUUUUUCUCGAACACAUCUCCUUGCCAUCUUCCGUAAAAUACCAAAACCAAUAUUCGGUAGCACUUUAUAUUUAACAGAUAAUACACAUAACUUGAAUUUUAUUCGAAAAUAACCACAAAGCAUAUAUUUCAUGAUAAAAAUCAGCAUAUCAUAUAUUUAACAUCAAUAACUUAAAAAUAAUAAUUAUGCUACAUUAUUUACACAUGAAAUUACCUCGAUACCACAAAGGUGAAAAAAAGACGUAAUUAUCUCUUAAUCGAUUUCUUUCCGUUCUAGGUCCAAAUCUCGAUUUUCAUCAUCUAAAAUAUCACAUUCAACUUAUUAAAACAAUGUACUGAUCAAAUUAGUCAAUUGACACACUUGGGCAAUUUUUACAAUUUUGCCCCUAUAUUUUGCCAAAAUUACUAAAUUACCCCUAGGCUCGUAAAAUAAUUUUUAUCACAUUUCUUUACUCCUUGAGUCUAGAUGAAUCAUUUUCAUAACUAUACCAACUCAUAAUUUCAACUAUUUCACACAUUUACAACUCAUUUUACAACUUAGCAAUCUAGCCCUUUUUAAGGUGUUUUCAUGCAAUUUCUUUCACAAAAGUUGUUUAUUAGACAAUUAGGACUCAUAAUCUUCCAUAAAAACACAGCAAACAACACAUUUACUCUCAUGUAAAAACCCUAGACUCUUCAUCAUUUUGCAAAAUAGACCCCUCAUAUGAAAGCUCAUGCUUUAGGGGUUCCAAAAAUGUAAAAAUCAUCAAGCAAAGACAUUAAAAUCACUUACAAGCAAGGGAAAUAUGUUGCUGAAAUUUUCCAGCUUCAAAGCCAUUUCUUUGCUGCAUAUUUCGG
rnacentral:lncRNA from 1 species